GAUGAAGAACGUAGCGAAAUGCGAUAAGUAAUGUGAAUUGCAGAAUUCAGUGAAUCAUCGAAUCUUUGAACGCACAUUGCGCCCGCCAGUAUUCUGGCGGGCAUGCCUGUUCGAGCGUCAUUUCAACCAUCAAGCCCCCGGGCUUGUGUUGGGGACCUGCGGCUGCCGCAGGCCCCGAAAACCAGUGGCGGGCUCGCUGUCACCCCGAGCGUAGUAGUUUACACCUCGCCCAGGGCGUGCCGCGGGUUCCCGGCCGUUAAACCCCCCCAUACCACAAGGUUGACCUCGGAUCAGGUAGGAAGACCCGCUGAACUUAAGCAUAUCAAUAAGCGGAGGA
rnacentral:misc_RNA from 1 species